UACGUAGGGUGCAAGCGUUGUCCGGAAUUAUUGGGCGUAAAGAGCUUGUAGGCGGUUUGUCGCGUCUGCUGUGAAAUUUCGGGGCUCAACCCCGAACUUGCAGUGGGUACGGGCAGACUAGAGCGUGGUAGGGGAGACUGGAAUUCCUGGUGUAGCGGUGAAAUGCGCAGAUAUCAGGAGGAACACCGAUGGCGAAGGCAGGUCUCUGGGCCACUACUGACGCUGAGAAGCGAAAGCAUGGGGAGCGAACGGG
rnacentral:rRNA from 1 species